GGUUAUUUAGUUUAAUUUUAAAAAUACAGGUUUUGUAAACCUGGGAUAAUCUUGUAUUAUUAACCU
rnacentral:tRNA from 1 species